rnacentral:rRNA from 1 species
AGGUCCUACGGGAUGCAGCAGUGGGGAAUAUUGGGCAAUGGGCGCAAGCCUGACCCAGCAACGCCGCGUGAAGGAAGAAGGCUUUCGGGUUGUAAACUUCUUUUCUUGGGGACGAAGAAAGUGACGGUACCCAAGGAAUAAGCCACGGCUAACUACGUGCCAGCAGCCGCGGUAAUACGUAGGUGGCAAGCGUUAUCCGGAUUUAUUGGGUGUAAAGGGCGUGUAGGCGGGAAUGCAAGUCAGAUGUGAAAACUAUGGGUUCAACCCAUAGCCUGCAUUUGAAACUGUAUUUCUUGAGUGCUGGG